rnacentral:rRNA from 1 species
GACGAACGCUGGCGGCGUGCCUAAUACAUGCAAGUCGAGCGAAUCUUUAGGAGUUUACUCCUAUUGGUUAGCGGCGGACGGGUGAGUAACACGUGGGCAACCUGCCUGUAAGACUGGGAUAACACCGGGAAACCGGUGCUAAUACCGGAUAAUCCUUUUCCUCACAUGGGGAAAAGCUGAAAGACGGUUUCGGCUGUCACUUACAGAUGGGGCCCGCGGCGCAUUAGCUAGUUGGUGAGGUAACGGCUCACCAAGGCGACGAUGCGUAGCCGACCUGAGAGGGUGAUCGGCCACACUGGGACUGAGACACGGCCCAGACUCCUACGGGAGGCAG